rnacentral:tRNA from 1 species
GCCGGGGUGGCGGAAUUGGCAGACGCAUCCGACCUUCGUAGUCGGGUGUCCCCAUGGGACGUGAAGGUUCGAACCCUUCCCCCGGCA